CCUACGGGUGGCAGCAGUGAGGAAUAUUGGUCAAUGGUCGCGAGCCUGAACCAGCCAAGUCGCGUGAGGGAAGACGGUCCUAUGGAUUGUAAACCUCUUUUGUCGGGGAGCAAAAGACGCCACGCGUGGCGUGCCGAGAGUACCCGAAGAAAAAGCAUCGGCUAACUCCGUGCCAGCAGCCGCGGUAAUACGGAGGAUGCGAGCGUUAUCCGGAUUUAUUGGGUUUAAAGGGUGCGCAGGCGGAAGAUUAAGUCAGCGGUAAAAUUGAGAGGCUCAACCUCUUCGAGCCGUUGAAACUGGUAGUCUUGAGUGAGUGAGAAGUAUGCGGAAUGCGUGGUGUAGCGGUGAAAUGCAUAGAUAUCGCGCAGAACUCCGAUUGCGAAGGCAGCAUGCCGGCGCUCAACUGACGCUGAUGCACGAAAGUGUGGGUAUCGAACAGGAUUAGAUACCCCGGUAGUC
rnacentral:rRNA from 1 species